rnacentral:rRNA from 1 species
AUUGAACGCUGGCGGCAUGCCUUACACAUGCAAGUCGAACGGUAACAGGUCUUUCGGGAUGCUGACGAGUGGCGAACGGGUGAGUAAUACAUCGGAACGUGCCUAGUAGUGGGGGAUAACUACUCGAAAGAGUGGCUAAUACCGCAUGAGAUCUAUGGAUGAAAGCAGGGGACCUUCGGGCCUUGUGCUACUAGAGCGGCCGAUGGCAGAUUAGGUAGUUGGUGGGAUAAAAGCUUACCAAGCCUGCGAUCUGUAGCUGGUCUGAGAGGACGAUCAGCCGCACUGGGACUGAGACACGGCCCAGACUCCUACGGGAGGCAGCAGUGGGGAAUUUUGGACAAUGGGGGAAACCCUGAUCCAGCAAUGCCGCGUGCAGGAUGAAGGCCUUCGGGUUGUAAACUGCUUUUGUACGGAACGAAAAGUCUUGGGUUAAUACCCUGGGAUCAUGACGGUACCGUAAGAAUAAGCACCGACUAACUACGUGCCAGCCGCCGCCGUAACAC